UAACGUUACCAAACUGUUGCCUCGGCGGGGUCACGCCCCGGGUGCGUAAAAGCCCCGGAACCAGGCGCCCGCCGGAGGAACCAACCAAACUCUUUCUGUAGUCCCCUCGCGGACGUAUUUCUUACAGCUCUGAGCAAAAAUUCAAAAUGAAUCAAAACUUUCAACAACGGAUCUCUUGGUUCUGGCAUCGAUGAAGAACGCAGCGAAAUGCGAUAAGUAAUGUGAAUUGCAGAAUUCAGUGAAUCAUCGAAUCUUUGAACGCACAUUGCGCCCGCCAGUAUUCUGGCGGGCAUGCCUGUCCGAGCGUCAUUUCAACCCUCGAACCCCUCCGGGGGAUCGGCGUUGGGGAUCGGGACCCCUCACCGGGUGCCGGCCCUGAAAUACAGUGGCGGUCUCGCCGCAGCCUCUCCUGCGCAGUAGUUUGCACAACUCGCACCGGGAGCGCGGCGCGUCCACGUCCGUAAAACACCCAACUUCUGAAAUGUUGACCUCGGAUCAGGUAGGAAUACCCGCUGAACUUA
rnacentral:rRNA from 1 species